GUCCACAUCAGGUCUUGAAACUCAUGCUGUAAGACCCCAUAAUAUGGGCAUGGUUGUAACUCCGGCAAUCUGGAGGCGUUCUGGACGGCGGUUCGAUUCCGCCCACCUCCACCCAAGCGUAUCGAGUUGAGCAUCAGGGUAUUUUUGGGUGGGGGUGCACUGGCUUCGACAGGGCGAACAAAAGUGAGC
rnacentral:tmRNA from 1 species